rnacentral:ribozyme from 1 species
GGUUGCAAGUUUGAGGCCAUAGCAGAAGCGCUCACAGCGCAGCCUGUCAGAGUCCACUGAAUCUGUGAAUCCUGCU